rnacentral:lncRNA from 1 species
UGUAGACGGUGGCCCUGUGCGGGAGCCGGCUCCCACUCGGCCCCUGCAGUGCGAUCCUUGGGGGCUGCUGCUCCUGCGCCGUCAGCCGGCGGAGGGCCGGCGCCCGGGCAGCGCUGAGGUUUCGGCCACCUCUCAGGUGUUCUCAGCUGCGCGGAGGACAGCGGCGAGUGACACGGGUGGGGGGAGGCCGAGUCGGGAGGGGACGACUAGGAGGGGCGCGGGCGGUGGGUGGCUCGCCCGGCGCUGUGUGCGGACUGCCAGCACUCCCAGCGGUGCACUGGGGCAGACCCUGCUCCCCUGGACCUGCCGGGAGCUCACCGCGUUCUUCGCAGUGCUGACAGUACCCCCAAGUUCUGUCUGCUCCCAGAGGCCUUGUGGCGUCACAGAACGGGACACGGUCGGGACGCUGCACCCUGGCUUUGCCUUCCGGAAGAUCACUAGGACUGCUCGCCUGUCUCUAGGCCUGCUUUAGGCUGCCUACAAACCAGCUUGGGUUGCGUGGGGUCUCAGGUUCUGACUUUCUGAGCUUGCUCCCGUGCCGCAAAACUAGCCCAGCUGAAAAAUAGCAUUCAGUGGUGAGCAUACCGUGUGUCCAGGAUGUUAUAAUACACAGCUCUGAAACUGGUUGGAGAAGUAAGUGCCCUAGCAAUUAUUUGAUCACCCUCUUCAGUAGUCAGAACACUGGCCAAAAGAAGAACUUAGACAAGAAAGAUGGGAGGCGAAUGUCUUUCCAGAAGCCUAAAGGGACUAUCGAGUACACUGUCGAAUCAAGAGAUUCUUUGAAUAGCAUAGCCCUGAAAUUUGAUACAACACCCAAUGAACUUGUUCAGUUAAAUAAGUUAUUCUCCCGAUCAGUCGUGACUGGACAGGUUUUGUAUGUUCCCGACCCUGAAUAUGUCUCCAGUGCUGAGAGUUCUCCAUCUCUGAGCCCCGUAAGCCCUCUGUCACCAGCGUCCUCCGAGGCUGAGUUUGAUAAGACCACUAAUCCUGAUGCAGCCCAUCCAAAAGAAGCAACUCCCGUGUCUGCUCUUACUGGUAUUCGACCAGCACGAGUUGUAUCUUCCACAUCUGAAGAAGAAGAAGCAUUUACUGAGAAAUUUCUUAAGAUUAAUUGCAAAUACAUUACCAGUAGCAAGGGCACAGUCAGUGGUGUGCUGCUGGUUACACCAAACAAUAUCAUGUUUGAUCCACAUAAAACUGACCCUUUGGUCCAAGAGAACGGCUGUGAGGAGUACGGCAUCAUGUGUCCAAUGGAGGAGGUGAUGUCCGCCGCCAUGUACAGAGACAUUCUGGACAGCAAAAUAAAGGAGUCUUUACCCAUAGAAAUAGACCUGUUAUCAGGAAGGGACUUCUGCCAUUCAAAGGAUGCAACAGGAAUGAAUACCGAGGAGGUAGACUCAAGAACUCGCGAUGCAGGUAACGACAGUGCCAGCACGGCUCCGAGGAGCACCGAGGAGUCUCUCUCUGAGGAUGUGUUCACGGAGGCAGAGCUCUCUCCCAUCCGAGAGGAGGGAGUCUCUUCGGAUAAGUCAUCUGGGGCGUCCUCAGAAUCCGUACAAACUGUCAGUCAGCCUGGGGUGGUAGGGUUGACAGCCCAGUCAGAGUCUAGUAGUCCUUCUCAUUUAAAAGCCAACACUGGACAUUCUGCCAAAGGAGCUGGGACUGCAUCUCAUGAAACGGAUUUAAGUCAUCUUGAAAUGGCUGCUCAGGAUGGAAAUCAGGGGACAGGUAACCUUCAGGAAGCAUUAGGCCCUACGGAGCCAAGCCCAAGUGUAAAAGGUCGUGCAGACCAGGAUCCUUCUCCUCAUGAGAGUGCCCUACAGCAAGAUGGAGGUGGGAAAGAAACCGUGCCUUGUGGAGAAACAGCAGAAUUUAAACAAAGGCAAACCAUUAACAAAGGCCAGGAAGGAAAGGAACAAAGUCAGGACUCAGAGGUUGAGGAGCUGCGCAAACUCUGGAAAACCCACACCAUGCAGCAAACUAAACAGCACAGGGAAAACAUUCAGCAGGUGUCGCAAAAAGAAAUUCAGCAUAAAAUUGCAUCUGCUGAUGGACAUGUAGAAGGUUCCGCACUUCUAAAGGAAAAGAGGAGGCAUCGAUUGCAUAAAUUCUUAUGUCUCAGAGUUGGGAAACCGAUGAGGAAGACGUUCGUGUCUCAGGCAAGUGCUACAAUGCAGCAGUAUGCACAGAGAGACAAGAAGCAUGAGUACUGGUUCGCCGUGCCGCAGGAAAGGACAGACCACCUGUAUGCCUUCUUCAUUCAGUGGAGCCCAGAAAUCUAUGCAGAAGACACUGGCGAAUGCACCAGAGAACCUGGGUUCAUAGUAGUAAAAAAGAUUGAGGAGUCUGAAGCAAAUGAGGAACCUACUAGUGAAGCAGCAGCCAGAGAAUGGGAGGUAGUGUCAGUGGCUGAGUAUCACCGCAGGAUCGAUGCUCUAAAUACCGAGGAGCUGCGCACUCUCUGCAGACGUCUCCAGAUCACCACCCGGGAAGACAUCAGUUCCAAGCAGGCUGCUCCCGUGAAAGCAGAGCUGGAGUCUGAAUCUUUUCGGCCCAACCUCAGUGACCCCAGCGAGCUCCUGCUGCCAGACCAGAUUGAGAAGCUCACCAAGCAUCUUCCACCAAGAACGAUUGGCUACCCGUGGACGCUGGUCUAUGGGACAGGCAAGCACGGCACCAGCCUGAAGACCCUGUACCGGACCAUGGCAGGUCUGGACACCCCGGUGCUGCUGGUGAUCAAGGAUAGCGACGGCCAGGUCUUUGGUGCAUUAGCAUCGGAGCCAUUCAAAGUGAGUGACGGCUUCUACGGGACCGGAGAGACCUUUGUGUUCACCUUCUGUCCAGAGUUUGAGGUCUUUAAGUGGACCGGAGAUAAUAUGUUUUUUAUCAAAGGAGACAUGGAUUCAUUAGCUUUUGGUGGUGGAGGAGGCGAGUUUGCUCUUUGGCUUGAUGGAGAUCUCUACCACGGAAGAAGCCAUUCUUGUAAAACAUUUGGGAAUCGUACACUUUCUAAAAAGGAAGAUUUCUUUAUCCAAGACAUUGAAAUCUGGGCUUUCGAAUAA